UGCCCCACAAACACAUGCACAUCACUUACACACCUGUGUACCCUCCAUCUCUGCCCCACAAACACAUGCACAUCACUUACACACCUGUGCACCCUCUAUCUCUGCCCCCCAAACACAUGCACAUGCACUUACACACCUGUGCACCCUCUAUCUCUGCCCCCAACAAACACAUGCACAUCACUUACACACCUGUGUACCCUCUAUCUCUGCCCCCCAAACACAUGCACAUGCACUUACACACCUGUGCACCCUCCAUCUCUGCCUCCAACAAACACAUGCACAUGCACUUACACACCUGUGCACCCUCCAUCUCUGCCUCCAACAAACACAUGCACAUCACUUACACACCUGUGUACCCUCUAUCUUUGCCCCCAACAAACACAUGCACAUCACUUACACACCUGUGUACCCUCUCACACAUGCAUAGGCACACACACAGAAGAACAAGCCAGCUAUAAUAUUUUGC
rnacentral:lncRNA from 1 species